rnacentral:lncRNA from 1 species
CGGGUGUGAACAGUAUCCGUGAACAGUGACUUUUUUUUUUUGCCUAAUCAACUAGAAAGAAAAUUGAACAAGAAAACUGCUGCCUCAUAACAAUUUUGUUUGUUUGUGCUGUUCCACAAGUUUUUGGGAAGAGGAUAGGAAGAAAGUUUUGGAUUGUGAAUGAAAAAUUAUCCAAAUUUUGGCUCUGAUACCACUUUGAUGUAGGAUGAAUAACAAGAAAUAAGAAGGAGAAAGAGGAGGGGAGAGGAGAAGAGGGGGAAACCGGGGGGAGAAAACACAGAGGCUGCAACCAACUUCAUUCAAUUAAUUUAUCAACUGUCUCAAAUACGCAACAAAAUAGAAAUAAAUAACAAAACAAAAACUCUAAAGAGAAGGGCUUGUGCCAAACCCACUAAACAAGCCUAAUAAUAGAAAUAUAAAUAAUAAUCUAAAUAGAAUAUAAUUAAUAGUCCAAAUAGAAAAUAAAUAGUAAAUGGAAGAAAAUAAAUAGUAAAUGAAUGUCCACAUCAACUUUGAUGUAGGAUGAAUAAUAAGAAAUAAGAAGGAGAAAGGGAAGAGGAGGGGAGAGGAGAAGAGGGGGAAAUUGGGGGGAGAAAACACAGAGGCUGCAACCAACUUUAUUCAAUUAAUUCAUCAACUGUCUCAAAUACGCAACAAAAUAGAAAUAAAUAACAAAACAAAAACCCUAAAGAGAAGGAUUUGGGCCAAACCCGCUAAACAAGCCUAAUAACAGAAAUAUAAAUAAUAAUCCAAAUAGAAUAUAACUAAUAGUUCAAAUAGAAAAUAAAUAGUAAAUGGAAGAAAAUAAAUAGUAAAUGGAUGUCCGCAUCAAAUAGCUUCGCAAACUUCUCUUUCAUUGUUUCAACAUCUGAAUUCUGACUCAGUUUUUCAUUUUUACAUUGUUGUGGGCUUGCAGAGAAGUCCCAUUCGUCUGUGCCACGAUCGUCCUUUUUCCUGAUCGUCCAGAGAGAAGAGAAUGACCCAAAAACAGUAUUGCUGGACGAGCAGCUUCAGUCAUCUUCAUCCAAGGAAUCGGUGAUAUGUCCAUCUCCACUGCUAGUGCUACUAGCAUUAUUGAAAGAGUGACUGUUGAGAAUACAGCUCUCAAGGCCAUUAUAUGUCACUAUUCCUGCAAGUUUCAGUUUUAAUUUAGUUUUUAUUAUACAAGUUAGAAGAUUUGAAUAAAUGAAAGAAGAAGUAUACUAAUAAUCAAGUACAGGAACACUCCGGUGAAGUUGUCAUUAGACAACAUCUCAAUAAUGAAUCUGGCCAGCACGUGAAGAGGGAUUUCAUAUUUAUUUAUUUAAAUGUUGAUCUGACGUGUGAUAACAAAUAGGUUCAACACAUGCCAUACUCAAAACACCAGCUGCUAAAUAAACCACAUCUAAAUUAAACAUAAAGAUUCACCUAAUACACCUUAUCAUGGAAUCAAUCAGAAAUCUUCAUAUUGCACCUAAAAACAUGAAAAAUGCAAUCCACAACAAAUUUAAAAUAAUUAGAAGAUCACAAAAAAGAAAAAGAAAAAGAAAAUCUUUAUUUUUUAAGUUGGACCUUGGACCAGGUCUUUCAUUUUUAAUUACAAGACAUGAAAGUUAUCGAGGAUGAAUUAAAAAAAAAAAUGAUAGAAGGUCCAAUUAAAAGAUUGCAAGGCAACUGCUUGAAUCAAAACAUAUCCAAAAAAAAUAAAACAAAAAUAAAACCACAAAAAAUAAUAAUAAUAAUAAUAAUAAAAAAAAAAACAAAAGAAUGUGAAACAGAUGGUAUAGAAAAGAGAAUCCUAUAACAGAUGUUGAUCCAUAUGAAAAACACAACUAUAUUAUGACGAAUUUUCAGAGAACAAUGACUUCUUUGUCUCUAUUCAGUUAUUUCAUUGUCUGAAAUAAAUGAAACUUAUAAAUAAUUGUAUUGUAGUAAGGUCAACCAUUCCUGUCAAUCAUUUACAUUUUAAGGGCCACUGAAAUUUCAUGGGGCCUCCAUUACUGAGUGGUAUUGAAUUGAUGAAUCACUAUCACUUUUAUGUGAUACAUUCUUACAUAACCAGACUUUUCCCUCUUGUUGCCAUCUACAAAAGCACUAAGAAAGAAUGGACAAAAAAUUUUGAAUUGAUGGGGCCACAGCAUUUGAUUUGCAGGUCCAAUAAGUAACGAAUAAAAGGUCCCACCAAACUUAAUGAUCAAUGACUCAAUAAGAUCAAUUGAAAACCCGCAACAUGUGAACAGUUUUUGAGCAUGUUUGGCAAAGAUUUUUCAAGCUUAUAAGUUGGUCAAGCAUCAUUCUUAAGCAGACAUGUUUUAGAAUCCACAACUUUUAUCUACUUUUAAAGUGCACAUUCUUUGGGACACGAGCAAAUAAGCAUAAAAAAGCUUUGCCAAGCAAACUUCAUAAAUAAGUGACAACAAUACUUAAACUUAAGACCUUUAUCUGAUACCAUUUUCAUCACAAAACAUAUGUUUGGUCUUGCUCUGAUACCAUCAUCUAAAAGCUUAAGUCGUUACAGGAAGGACAAAUUCAUUUAUAUAAAAUUACUUCUUCGAUGGUUUCUGAUAAUAGGAUAGCAAAACUCAAAAUACUCUUCAACACUGGCUUCACAUUCAAUCUAUAAUUUCAAUAGUCAAGUGACAUGAAUAUUACUUCUUGGGCAGUGUGAAGUAAAUAUGACUCAAUAAAUAGAGUUCCCCACAUGGCCAAACCUCACAUGAUACUAUAUGGAAGCAAUUUUUAUUGAGUUUUGACCAUUAAAAACAGAACAUUUUCAUGUUCUGAGCCAUAUUCAAGUAAUUAAAAAGCAUCUAAUUUCAACUCAAAUUUGCAUCCCCAAGACUUCUUCACAUUUAUGGCUCGUUCAGGAGGUGGCAUUGAAUAUUACUCCAAAGUCAUAUCUACUAAUGUAUACGAAACAAGAAUUCAAAGAAAUUCAAAUUCUCCAAUACAGACAUAUUUUUGUAGAUGAGCCAUGUCACCUUUGAAGCAAUAUUCAUGCACUUUUUCUAGGCAAAAAAAAAAAAAAUCCUAUUUUUUAGCUGAAGUUUUGUGAUUUCAUUCAUGAAAGUUGAAAUAAAAAUUAAGCCCAUUUUGAAUCACAAAAAAGCCAAGAUUUUUCAAUCAAACUCUUGGAGUCUGUCCCAUUCCCCCACCCCUACCCACAAAUAAAAUACAGGAAAAAAUGGAGAAAACAGAAGAAGAAUGAGGGAGUGGCAUACCUCGUGUAAUCAAAUGGGUAGCGAAUUCUUGAAACACUGUGUAUUUUGGUAUAAACGUAGACUGUCAGAGACUCAGAGAGACGUGAGAAGAUGGGAAUUGAGGAGUCAAAAACAGACGGCAAUGGAGCCGUUGCUUAAAUGAAAUCAACAAGUUUCAGAAGUUAUAGGAAAAUUUAGAGAGAGAAAAAUGUAGUUUCGA